rnacentral:rRNA from 1 species
GCUUGCUCCCGGAUGUUAGCGGCGGACGGGUGAGUAACACGUGGGUAACCUGCCUGUAAGACUGGGAUAACUCCGGGAAACCGGAGCUAAUACCGGAUAGUUCCUUGAACCGCAUGGUUCAAGGAUGAAAGACGGUUUCGGCUGUCACUUACAGAUGGACCCGCGGCGCAUUAGCUAGUUGGUGGGGUAAUGGCUCACCAAGGCGACGAUGCGUAGCCGACCUGAGAGGGUGAUCGGCCACACUGGGACUGAGACACGGCCCAGACUCCUACGGGAGGCAGCAGUAGGGAAUCUUCCGCAAUGGACGAAAGUCUGACGGAGCAACGCCGCGUGAGUGAUGAAGGUUUUCGGAUCGUAAAGCUCUGUUGUUAGGGAAGAACAAGUGCGAGAGUAACUGCUCGCACCUUGACGGUACCUAACCAGAAAGCCACGGCUAACUACGUGCCAGCAGCCGCGGUAAUACGUAGGUGGCAAGCGUUGUCCGGAAUUAUUGGGCGUAAAGGGCUCGCAGGCGGUUUCUUAAGUCUGAUGUGAAAGCCCCCGGCUCAACCGGGGAGGGUCAUUGGAAACUGGGAAACUUGAGUGCAGAAGAGGAGAGUGGAAUUCCACGUGUAGCGGUGAAAUGCGUAGAGAUGUGGAGGAACACCAGUGGCGAAGGCGACUCUCUGGUCUGUAACUGACGCUGAGGAGCGAAAGCGUGGGGAGCGAACAGGAUUAGAUACCCUGGUAGUCCACGCCGUAAACGAUGAGUGCUAAGUGUUAAGGGGGUUUCCGCCCCUUAGUGCUGCAGCUAACGCAUUAAGCACUCCGCCCUGGGGAGUACGGUCGCAAGACUGAAACUCAAAGGAAUUGACGGGGGCCCGCACAAGCGGUGGAGCAUGUGGUUUAAUUCGAAGCAACGCGAAGAACCUUACCAGGUCUUGACAUCCUCUGACAACCCUAGAGAUAGGGCUUUCCCUUCGGGGACAGAGUGACAGGUGGUGCAUGGUUGUCGUCAGCUCGUGUCGUGAGAUGUUGGGUUAAGUCCCGCAACGAGCGCAACCCUUGAUCUUAGUUGCCAGCAUUUAGUUGGGCACUC